rnacentral:rRNA from 1 species
AUGGCCGACAAGGAGAACUCCGCCUACGCCGCCGCCGCCCCUCGCAUGACCCGCGCAUCCACCAAGCGCGCCGCCGCCGUCACCGCCGUCGCCGUCGCCGCCAAGCGCAAGCGCGUCGCGCUCAGCGAGAUCCCCACGCUCCCCAACGGCGCCCCCCAGCCGCACGCCAAGCCCAAGAAGCCGUCGUCCCAAGUCGCCAAGCCCAAGAAGAGGUCCGUGUCGUCCCUGUCCCUCCCCGCGCCCAAGCCGGCGCCCGACGCGGUCGACGAGACCGGCGACCCGCAGCUCUGCGCUCCGUACGCGUCCGACAUCUACUCCUACCUCCGAUCCAUGGAGGUCCAGGCGAAACGGCGGCCGGCGGCGGAUUACAUCGAGCGGGUGCAGGUGGACGUCACCCCCAACAUGCGCGGCAUCCUCGUCGACUGGCUCGUCGAGGUCGCCGAGGAGUACAAGCUCGUCUCCGACACGCUCUACCUCACCGUCUCAUACAUCGACCGCUUCCUCUCGGCCAACUCCCUCAACCGUCAGAAGCUGCAGCUCCUCGGCGUCUCUGCCAUGCUCAUUGCCUCGAAGUAUGAGGAGAUCAGCCCCCCAAACGUGGAGGACUUCUGCUACAUCACUGACAACACCUACAUGAAGCAGGAGCUUGUUAAGAUGGAGAGGGAUAUACUAAACAACCUCAAGUUUGAGAUGGGCAAUCCUACCGCCAAGACCUUCCUAAGGAUGUUCAUCAAAUCUGGCCAAGAAGACAAGAAGUAUCCUAGCCUGUUGCUGGAGUUCAUGGGGAGCUAUCUCACCGAGCUGAGCCUUUUGGAUUAUGGCUGUGUCCGGUUCUUGCCAUCAGCUGUUGCAGCCUCAGCGGUGUUCGUUGCACGGCUGACCCUUAAUCCAGACUCCAACCCUUGGAGCAAGAAGUUGCAAUCAGUAACCGGGUACAGGGCAUCCGAGCUGAAGGACUGCAUUACGGCCAUACAUGACCUGCAGCUCAGCAGGAAAGGGCAAUCGUGGAAUGCAAUCCGGGACAAAUACAAGCAGCACAGGUUCAAGGGUGUAUCUUCAUUGCUACCUCCUGUUGGGAUCCCUGCAUCAUACUUUGAAGACCUCAAGGAGUAG